rnacentral:misc_RNA from 1 species
AGUUUGGGUAGCUGAUAUAUCGCUUAUUGAGCCAUAUGGAGUUGGUUUUGAACUGGAAGAAAUUGAUUGCACAAAGAAAAAAUUUAAUAUCCCAAAAUGUGUUUCUCCAGACAAAGCAAGGAAUGGAGUAAGAUCGACUUCAGAUUUACACUCUAUGUACCCUGAUUAUGAGAUCAAAGAAAUAAAGAACAUAUAUGUAGACCCUACCAGUGGAAAUCCUUUUUCUUCACAAAAAGUUGGGUCUUUGAGCUCACCAAAAAUGGCCCUCCCAUUGGAUACCAU